rnacentral:rRNA from 1 species
CCUACGGGUGGCAGCAGUGGGGAAUAUUGGGCAAUGGGCGCAAGCCUGACCCAGCAACGCCGCGUGAAGGAAGAAGGCUUUCGGGUUGUAAACUUCUUUUCUCAGGGACGAAGAAAGUGACGGUACCUGACGAAUAAGCCACGGCUAACUACGUGCCAGCAGCCGCGGUAAUACGUAGGUGGCAAGCGUUAUCCGGAUUUAUUGGGUGUAAAGGGCGUGUAGGCGGGACUGCAAGUCAGAUGUGAAAACUCAGGGCUCAACCCUGGGCCUGCAUUUGAAACUGUGGUUCUUGAGUGCUGGAGAGGCAAUCGGAAUUCCGAGUGUAGCGGUGAAAUGCGUAGAUAUUCGGAGGAACACCAGUGGCGAAGGCGGACUGCUGGACAGUAACUGACGCUGAGGCGCGAAAGCGUGGGGAGCAAACAGGAUUAGAUACCCGGGUAGUC